UACGGGGGGGGCAAGCGUUGUCCGGAAUCAUUGGGCGUAAAGAGCGUGUAGGCGGUCCGGUAAGUCCGCUGUGAAAGUCGGGGGCUCAACCCUCGAAUGCCGGUGGAUACUGUCGGGCUAGAGUGCGGAAGAGGCGAGUGGAAUUCCUGGUGUAGCGGUGAAAUGCGCAGAUAUCAGGAGGAACACCUAUUGCGAAGGCAGCUCGCUGGGACGUAACUGACGCUGAGACGCGAAAGCGUGGGGAGCAAACAGG
rnacentral:rRNA from 1 species